rnacentral:rRNA from 1 species
GAAUUUUCCGCAAUGGGCGAAAGCCUGACGGAGCAAUACCGCGUGAGGGAAGACGGUCUAUGGGUUGUAAACCUCUUUUCUCAGGGAGGAACUCAAUGACGUGUACCUGAGGAAUAAGCAUCNGCCAAACUCCGUGCCAGCAGCCGCGGUAAGACGGAGGAUGCAAGUGUUAUCCGGAAUCACUGGGCGUAAAGCGUCUGUAGGUGGUUUAAUAAGUCAACUGUUAAAUCUUGAGGCUCAACUUCAAAAUCGCAGUCGAAACUAUUAGACUAGAGUAUAGUAGGGGUAAAGGGAAUUUCCAGUGGAGCGGUGAAAUGCGUAGAGAUUGGAAAGAACACCGAUGGCGAAGGCACUUUACUGGGCUAUUACUAACACUCAAGACGAAAGCUAGGGUAGCAAAUGGGAUUAGAUACCCCAGUAGUC